UACGUAGGGGGCAAGCGUUGUCCGGAUUUAUUGGGCGUAAAGAGCGUGUAGGCGGCCAGACAGGUCCGUUGUGAAAACUGGAGGCUCAACCUCCAGACGUCGAUGGAAACCGUCUGGCUAGAGUCCGGAAGAGGAGAGUGGAAUUCCUGGUGUAGCGGUGAAAUGCGCAGAUAUCAGGAAGAACACCCGUGGCGAAAGCGGCUCUCUGGACGGUACUGACGCUGAGACGCGAAAGCGUGGGGAGCGAACAGG
rnacentral:rRNA from 1 species